rnacentral:rRNA from 1 species
GUAGGUGGCAAGCGUUGUCCGGAACUAUUGGGCGUAAAGCGCGCGCAGGCGGUUCUUUAAGUCUGAUGUGAAAGCCCACGGCUCAACCGUGGAGGGUCAUUGGAAACUGGAGAACUUGAGUACAGAAGAGGAAAGCGGAAUUCCACGUGUAGCGGUGAAAUGCGUAGAGAUGUGGAGGAACACCAGUGGCGAAGGCGGCUUUCUGGUCUGUAACUGACGCUGAGGCGCGAAAGCGUGGGGAGCAAACAGGGAUUAGAUACCCUGGUAGUCCACGCCGUAAACGAUGAGUGCUAAGUGUUAGGGGGUUUCCGCCCCCUUAGUGCUGCAGCUAACGCAUUAAGCGCUCCGCCUGGGGAGUACGGCCGCAAGGCUG